UACUUUAAACGUAAAACCAAAAUUUAUCAAAAAUACACAAAAACAAAAGAAACCAUUUGAAAAAAAAACAGUGCAAAUUCUAAAAAGUUUAAAGUAAGAAGAAGAAAAAAUACACAUUUUUUAUAUGCGCCCCAAGUGCUUAAACUUCAACAACAACAACAACAACAAACGAAAAUACCCAAUAACAACCAUGUAAAACAUACAACCAUAACCUCAAUCAAUACAGCAAAUCGAGCAAUAUUACGGAUAACAAAUCAUAUAAUAAAUACAAAAUAUAAAAUUUAUUAAACUUAAUUGUUAAAUGUUAACUAAAGAAGAACACCAACAAAAUCAACGCCAGCAACCUGCCAGGAACAAAAACACCAACAACAACACCAACAACUCAUGCGGUACCCAAAAUCCCAAAAAACAACUAGAGAAGAAGAAGCAGCUGCAGCAGCAACAACAACAACAACAACAACAGCAACAAAUCAACAACAACGACAAGCUAAUGAGAGCAACGCCUCUCAAGAAAUUCUCAGGAGUUGCUGUUGCGCCAAUUGCAUUAACAUUGGAUUAGUCACCCUUCAAAUAAUUCCCAAAGAUAAAAACCCCAUAAACCAAAUUUGAGGCACUCAUGUAAAGUCAUUCGAAUGUGAAUGGGGAACGACACCAACCAACCAACUCCACCAACACCUACUCCACCACCACCACCAGCAGCAACAACAACAACAACAUCGACAUCGACAGUAACGGGACAUGGAUAUACAUAUGAAAAAAUUAACUAAACCACGGUGAGUCAAGAGCGCAUUUCUGAAUAAAUAAACGACUUUCUCGCUGCAGCGUGAGUGUUAAGUAGUACCCAGUUUUAUAAUUCAUACCCCCAUAAUAUACACACAUACAUAUACAACAUAUGUAUUUGUAUAUAUGAUGCCUGAGUUUAUAAUUCCAAUUGCUGGUCGUUCAAGCGAAAGUUAUGUGCGAGUCGGUGAGUUCCGUUGCGUGUUGCAUUGAUAAAGCAACUUGACUGGAAAUUUAUGACGAGUCACUAAAAAUCGACUUGAGGAAAAUUAAGAAGGGGGCUAAAAAAAAAAAAAACACUGAAAAUUUUAACUGCGUGCGAAAAGUCGGUAGAUAAAACAUUGACAUUGUCUUUAGCGCGCGCGCGCGAUCCAAAAUGAAAAGUGUAAAAUGAAAAAUUUUAUUAUAGAUUUCACUUUUUGCGAACCCAAGCACCAAGCACCCCCUCGUAGAUGUCGUAGCUCAUUUCAUUCUCUUCAAGCCAUAGAAACAAACAAAAGCUUAAAGUUUACGAGCCGCAUUCGCUCGCCCGAUGACGUUUAUGGCAUUUUUCUGACCCGGACCCGAACCCGGACCGUGUUUGAAAACUGACGACGCUGCUUAUUAAAAGGGUCGCCGCAUUCUUUAGUCUGCAAUCCGCCAGCGCUCUCUACCACCCAUUCUGGCUCUCUCUCGCUCUCUCACACACUCUCUCUCUCUCUCUCUAUGUGCUGCUGUUCUGACACCGUCUCCGCUGACACUCAUCAACCUUCGACACAUAAAUGUCGACCUUCUCUUAACAAUUUUAAUGCCCUAAAGCGGGGCGUGUGUCUUGACAAUCUGGUCAACAAGUUUGUUAUGCUUGGCGUAAACAUUGUAGCGUUUAUAAGUUGGCAUUCGAAUCAAGUGCUAUCAUGUUCAUUUGAUUUAAAGAACCGUUAUGUUGAGCUCAAAGCAUUUGUUUUUAGCAAUGAAGAUAAUAAUAUAAAACACGAUUCAAAUAUUUUAUAAAAGAGCUUUAGUUGGAUAGCAUAAAUUUCUUCUUGGAUAGUACCUUAAAAUUUAUCGAUACAUUUAUCGAUUUCAAUUCCGUUUCUGUUGCAGAUCUAUAACUUUAGAUAAUAGAAUAUUGAUUUUUUAAAUUUAUUUUCGUACGCAAAUAGUUCUUAAGCCCGAACAUGAAUCGAUAUAUUAUGUGUUUUAUGAAAAAGCUUUAUGAUAAUACUAUAUCAGACGUUCCUUCCAUUGACUUGAAUGAUGUGGGUAAAUAUUCGUAGUAGAUUUAUAUUUUUAUUUGAAUAGUUUUUUUUUAAGCUUAGAUUAUUAUUGCAGAAUAUUUUUGCAUUUUUAUAUUUUUGAUUUAAACACAGAUUGACACAAUAAUUCAGCUUACUUUGAUCGAUACAUUUAUUGAUUCUAAAUUUAUUGCAUUACUACUUUUUGAUGUUGUCAGGCAAUAAAUUAUGUUCUAUACAUAUUCAGUUUUUAAUUUGUCUGAAUGAUAAGGAGUCUCUUCCAUACUCAUAUGAUAUAACUUUGCUCCUAUAUAUUUUCUCGAUAUAUGUAUAUAUUUAAAACACAUACUGCUCUUUGACAGUUUUACUUUCCUUUAUAAGCUCCAUUUCCACUUUGAUUGAGGCUCCUUGCUUAUCUUUAAUCUAUAUGAUAUUGUUCACGCUUGAACCCUGUAUAUCUGAUAUUCAUUUUCUAGCUCAUUUUCACUGUCUUCCAGUGGCGCUUCGUGAAGGGCAUUUAACCCACAAUUUGGCUAAAAGCAAAAAGAACACUUAACCAAUUCUUGUUGUGUCAUCAACUUUGACCUUUUCAACAGGCUGUACUCCAGCAAAGCUUUAUUUUCAUUCAUCCCCCUACACCAAUCACACACAGUCUUUCUAAUUUUCGCUCCCUUUUUCUCUCUAUCUCUGUCUUCCUCUGCCUCUCUGUCUGGCUGUGCUUGUUCAUCAUUGUUCGUCACACGCACAGGCCAAGCAGUUUGACAGUCAUUGGGUUUCACUUUUCUUAUGUACACACAAUAUGGGCACCGUCUCUCCGUUGCCCAUGCCACAUGCCACUUGUUUGUGGCUCUUAUUGUUUAACUGGCAAUGAUUAAUGUUCUUCGACAGCAACAAUAUCAAGCAGAAUAUAUAUCUUUGUGUGUGUGUGUGUGUGUGUUUGUGUGUGUGUGUGUUUGUGUGUGCGUAGGCCGUUUAGGCCAAGUAAUGGAAUUUCUUUCUGUCAAUGACCUAGAAAUUAUUUUGUUUUCGUGCAAAAUAUCCGUAACUCUGACAGAGUUGUAACUCGAAUCUUUCUUUCAUUUUUUUCGCACGAUGAAAUAACCUGGAUUUAUUAAUUAAUGAGAAACGCAUAGCGAGGCAUUUAGCUGAGAUUAAAUCGAGAGUAUAUAUUUAUAAAAAAAAACACACACACAUUAAUAAUAUAUAUACAAUUUUUUCUUUAAGAAAAGAAAACACUUUUCAGUCUCAAGAAGCCCAUAAUAAUUCACCUCAAUUUCGCUGCAGAUGUUAUAUGUAAAAUAUACAUAUAUACGCUAUUUCUUUAGAAAUUUCUGACUAAUUCCUUAAGAUGUAUUUACUCCUUAUAUUUUGUCUUUUAUAGUUCCACAUUCCCCAUAUAACUUUCAAAUCUGAUUCAUUGUUACUUAUUUAUUUUAUUUUUCUGAAGUAACGGGAACUGAAUAUUUAAUUCGUAUUUGAUCAGAUGUGGAAAUAUGUAUAAGUAGCUAUAAAUAUAUGUAGAUAUGUUUGAUAAUACUGAAAUCAUGUGAUUCAGAUCUGUCAUAAAGUGAGUCUCAGCUUAAACUUAUGAUAUAUGUUCAUGUUCUUCUGCUGAACUCUCGAAAUGAGAUCAUGCUUUCAGCUUCAACCAAUCAGUCCCUUCCUCAACUUCUAUACCACGUAUGUAUACAUACAUAUAUAUGCAUGUGUGUGUGUGUGUGUAUUAUAAUCAACGUAUUUGCAGCACAGACACAUUUAUAGCACUGCCUGCAGCCACGCCCACUAUACGAGCUGCCUACUGCAUAAUAAGUACAAGCUUUAGAAGGUAGCGCAGCAGAGUAAAGAGAGAGAGAAAGAGAGAGAGAGAGACCUUAUAUUUUUAUUAUUACAUAGUACACAUCAUAUUUGAUUUCGUUUUUGUUUUUGUUUUUGCUUUUUGUUUGUCUUUGGCUUUGAUUCUGUGCGAGGCGUCGCGUCGUUUGUCUCAUGUGAAAAACCUGCCUCAAGGUUAUUGGCUUCUGCUUUUGGCCCCGAGAAGUGUAGCGAAAAGAGAGCGAAACACAGCAAAAAGCAAAAGAAAUGAAAACAAAAUUUCUCCAUUACAUGAUGAGGCGGCGAUUUCUUGUUGUUGUUGUUGUUGUAGUUGCUUUUGCUGAGCUCAGCUCGUUUGGCUUUAAUAGACAUUCGACCGACUGAAACUUAUCGAGUUCAUUAUCUUUUAUAUAUGUAUGUAUAUGUAUAUAUUUAAAUAUAUGUACGUAUGUAUAAAUGUUGGUUCGUUGUAGUAGCUUCGUCUCGUUUAAUAUUGGGGUCAAGGAUUUUCAUAAUUUCGACUGCCACAAAAAGAACAUUGUUGUUAGCCGCUCUUAUCUAGCCGUCUCUUUCUGGCCUGCACUCAAUUUACAUAUGUAUGUAUGUAUGCAUGUGUGAAUAAUGAAUGUUUUUAACGGCAUGUAUGAUAUUUCGGUUCUGGCCUUUUUGUUUUUGUUUAUAUAUUCGCAAUAUAUGUUUAGUCGUGGGCCAAAUGCGAAGUGUUGAAAAUGAUGUGGCAUUAAGGUGAAAUCAGGUGUGCUGCUGCUGCUGCCGAUGCCGCUGCUGCUGCUGAUGUUGAAAAUUCCACAAUGAUUAUGACAUGGCUCGGAAUUUUUAAUGUUGACUGAAAGCAACAGUAAAUGGUAUGCAGUGCGGCGAAUGGAUAGAAGGUAGAAGGAGGCGGGAAAGAGGGAGACAGGUAAUAAGGAUGAGAGAUGGAAAAAGUAGCAGAAAGAGAAACAGAGAGAGAGAGAGAGAGAGAGAGAUUGCCGUGAAGGGAGUGAGAGAGAGAUAUGUGGAAAGAGAAAUAUAGAGAGUGUCAGCGCUUAAUAAUGUUGUGAUAAAGAGGCUGUGCGAUAGAUGUAGCGCUGUAUAAAAAGAGACAAUGAGAAAUGUAAUAGGAAAGAGACGGAGUAGAAAAAGAUGGAUGUAUAUAGCAAAAAACUUGGUAGUGAAACAUAUAUUCAUAUAUAUAUACAUACAUAUAUAUGUAUAUUCAAUAUGCUCAUGUGUAUAUAUUUCAUAUUAUUAAUUUUUAAAUCAUAUAAUUUAUAAACUUUAAACACACACACUCCUAAUUAGUAUUUGAGACUUUCUUCCAUUUUGAUACAAAUCUGGUUUUAAUUAUGAAAACGUCUCAAUUGUUGUUUUUUCCUGCUUUGGCAAGUCUGCUUACAAUUAAAACUGUAAAUCACAGCUGAGUAUCUUUGCUUAGCCAAAGAGUUCACUCAAUUAGGCGGUCGAUUCUCUUACCUUCUCUCUCAGUCUCCGUCUCGUUCGCACUUGGGCACAACUUGCAGUUGGAAGCUCUCUGCGCUUUAAUCAGAACCGCAGCGGACUGGCGCUGCUUUUCUUCUCAUUCGCAUUCUUGGCUGUAGUUUUGCUUUUGCUUUUUAUUUUCUUUCGCGCUUCUUCCUAUACAACUUUGGUUGCAAAUGGAGAAACUUGCAGGAGAAUUUCAUGCACAACUUUCAGUCAACAGCUGCUUGUUACUUACCACAUACAUAUAUAUGUAUGUAUGUAUGUAUAUACGUAUAUACCCUGGCGCUACCUUCUUGGCUGCCUCUUCGCCCCUGGUGCGCCUCUACAGUUUUGUCCAGUUUGUGACUUUCAACUUCUUUAACCACUUAGAAUCAUCAACUUGUUUUGCCUGCUACUUUUUUCACUGCUCUUACUCUACAAAUGCAUAUAUACAUAUAUAUGUAUUUGUAUGUUGUAUAUGUUUUUGCUUUUUAGUUGCAGUUGCUUUUUACAAAAGUUGUGCAUGCCAGUUUAAUUUGCUUCAGCAACACCAACAACUUGUGAAAGAAGUUGUAAAUGUUGCUACAGUUUGAAGCCGCUGGUCAGCAUAAUAAAGUUUACAGUUUGACAGUCUCGGACACACACUCACACACACACACACUUGCUUGCAAUUUAUUCGGCAACGCACUUAUAAUGAACUUAAAACGAAGUGACCGACAAGAGGCGAAAAAGAGACAGACAGACAGACAUGCAGAGAGACGCAGACAGGCACAGCUCACAGCUGUAGAACACUCUGUAACACAUUUCCAGUGGCGGCAGCGUCGCGACGCUGGCAGCGACGCCAGCUUCGUAACGUCAGCAGCAGCCGUGCGUCGGCACACGCUCUUCGGCUUGUGUUGUUGUUGUGUGAUUAAUUUUUGUUUUUUCGUUUUCUUUUGCCCCAAAAACUGUUUGACGUCUGUCUGCUUGGCCGUUGCUCUAUGCUGGGCUUCUUGUUUUUCUUUUUCUUUUUUUUUUGUAGACAAAUGAGCAAACGACAGCGGCCGCCAAUGUCUGUUGCUACUGCUACUGCUGCUGUUGUUGACACUGAUGACAGUUUGCCGUAAAUAACAGCAGCAAAAAAUGAAAAUAAAAGGCGAUAGCAAUAACAGUGUGUGGCGCCGCGCUCCCUUUAUCUUAUGCUUACUUAUGCAGCCAGCAGUGGGACAAUUAAGUAAAUACACACACAUAUGUAUGUGUGCAUGUGUGUGCAUUGAUGUACGCAUGUACGUAUGUGUGCAGUUAUGCCUUUGACUUGUGCGCUUAAUGAAAUUUCAGCUAUGGCAUUAGCUGUGGAUCUUAUUUGUAUGUUAAGCAUGUGCAAAAAUGUUGUUAUUAGGGGAAGAGUAACGAGAGAAAGGGAGAGAGCGUGAGUGUAGAGAGUGUAGACUUUUGUGUUAUGUUAAAGCAGGAACAGCAUUGCUGUAGAGAUUUUCUGUUUCUUACGCUAUGCACUGUUAUUUGUUCUUAUUAGUUUCUUAUUAGCUUAACUACAUUUAAGCUGUUGCAUUUUAUUGCGCUGUUAAUUAACUGAAAUAAUAAUGUAAAUGACCUGGUUAUUUAUUUAAUUUUUGACUUUCCUUUUUAUGUAAUUUUUUGCAAAUAUAUUUACUUGGCAACGGUGAUUUUUCCCAGGCAUGAUGAAUAUACAUAUGUAUUUAUGUAUGUGCAUAUAUAUGUACCUGCUGCGAUAUACAAUCCCCCAAAUCUUGUAAAAGUAGGAAAAAAAAUUACAAAAAUAUACAACAACAACCAAUUAAAAAGUCAUCAAAUUGCUCAACGGCAAAGCUCCCAAAGCGCAGGGAGUCCACAUGGCUGCUCCAUUCGUGUAUUUGGAUAUGGGUUGGCUUGGGUUGGGGGCCACCCACUCAUCAAAGAAGCAAAAUGACUUGU